CUACGGGAGGCAGCAGUGAGGAAUAUUGCACAAUGGGGGCAACCCUGAUGCAGCAACGCCGCGUGGAGGAUGACGCAUUUCGGUGUGUAAACUCCUUUUAUCAGAGAAGAACCAUGACGGUAUCUGAUGAAUAAGCUCCGGCUAACUCCGUGCCAGCAGCCGCGGUAAUACGGAGGGAGCAAGCGUUAUUCGGAAUCACUGGGCGUAAAGGACGCGUAGGCCGGUCUGUAAGUCAGGUGUGAAAUGCAAUGGCUCAACCAUUGAACUGCACUUGAAACUGCGGACCUAGAGUAUGGAAGGGGCAGAUGGAAUUAGUGGUGUAGGGGUAAAAUCCGUAGAUAUCACUAGGAAUACCGAAAGCGAAGGCGAUCUGCUGGGACAUAACUGACGCUGAGGCGUGAAAGCGUGGGGAGCAAACAGGAUUAGAUACCCGUGUAGUC
rnacentral:rRNA from 1 species